rnacentral:lncRNA from 1 species
AAAAAUGAGAAAGAAACAAAAGAGAAAAGAAACAUGAAAAAAAAAGAAUAAAAAAAGAGAAAAAAAUGAAAAAAAAAGCAAGAUAGAAAAGAAAAGGAAAACGAAAAAAUAAAAUUGAAAAGAAAAAAGAAAGUAAACAAAAAUAAAAUAAAAUAAAAACGAAGACAAAAAAAAGAAAAAUUAAAAGAAAUGAUGAAAAGAAAAGAAAUGAAAAAUGAAAAAAAGAAAAGAAAAGAAAAAUAAGAAUAAAAAAAGAGAAGAAAGAAAA